CCUACGGGAGGCAGCAGUGAGGAAUAUUGGUCAAUGGACGAGAGUCUGAACCAGCCAAGUAGCGUGAAGGAUGACUGCCCAGUGGGUUGUAAACUUCUUUUAUAUGGGAAUAAAAUGUUCCACGUGUGGGAUUUUGUAUGUACCAGAUGAAUAAGGAUCGGCUAACUCCGUGCCAGCAGCCGCGGUAAUACGGAGGAUCCGAGCGUUAUCCGGAUUUAUUGGGUUUAAAGGGAGCGUAGGUGGAUUGUUAAGUCAGUUGUGAAAGUUUGCGGCUCAACCGUAAAAUCGCAGUUGAAACUGGCAGUCUUGAGUACAGUAGAGGUGGGCGGAAUUCGUGGUGUAGCGGUGAAAUGCUUAGAUAUCACGAAGAACUCCGAUUGCGAAGGCAGCUCACUGGACUGAAACUGACACUGAGGCUCGAAAGUGUGGGUAUCGAACAGGAUUAGAUACCCGUGUAGUC
rnacentral:rRNA from 1 species